CACGUAGGAGGCGAGCGUUGUCCGGAAUCAUUGGGCGUAAAGAGCGCGCAGGCGGCUUGGCAAGUCGGGUGUGAAAUCCCGGGGCUCAACCCCGUGACUGCAUCCGAUACUGUCAGGCUAGAGGUAGGUAGGGGAGAUCGGAAUUCCUGGUGUAGCGGUGAAAUGCGCAGAUAUCAGGAAGAACACCCGUGGCGAAGGCGGCUCUCUGGGACGGUACUGACGCUGAGGCGCGAAAGCGUGGGGAGCAAACAGG
rnacentral:rRNA from 1 species